UACGUAGGGGGCUAGCGUUGUCCGGAAUCAUUGGGCGUAAAGCGCGUGUAGGCGGUCCGGUAAGUCCGCUGUGAAAGUCGGGGGCUCAACCCUGGGAUGCCGGUCGAUACUGCCGGACUAGGGUUCGGAAGAGGCGAGUGGAAUUCCCGGUGUAGCGGUGAAAUGCGCAGAUAUCGGGAGGAACACCUAUGGCGAAGGCAGCUCGCUGGGACGUUACUGACGCUGAGACGCGAAAGCGUGGGGAGCAAACAGG
rnacentral:rRNA from 1 species